UUUUUGGGAAUCCUUCUGUCUUUUUUGAUUUGAAUACUUUUCUUCUUAUCAGAUAUUACUUUAAUAAAGCUUCUAGUUUGCGGAAAAUAAAAAUGAAAAGAAUAAAUAUAUAAGUAGCCUAAUUAAACAAAUAAACUUAAUAAGGAGCAGCAUGUAUCCCUUUAAUUGGACGUACACAGGUCCGUUACCUUUUGUUACCUGAUGAGCAUAUUCGAAAUUGUACAACUCGAGUUCUUGUUAUCUUCUUAAAGAAAAUCAUCCUUCUCUGUCGACGUUUCUCGGAUUUUGUAUCAACGUCCCACCCUCGUCACUGUCCGAAUCAUCUGUGGUGGUAACAUGAAUACAAUUGCACGCCUUUAACGAGGUGAGGAACGCAGCCAUGAUGCCGCUAAACAGCCGCAUAGCCACCUUGUUGCACUUCCUAGACCUGACUUCGGAAUUAUUGAUUGAUAGUGUACGGAAAUUUGAACUGGAUUUGUCACAACGUUCUUUACCGCAGCAUGUACAAGGGUUUGCAUUUUCCUCCAUUUGUUGGAUGAAAUGAAAAAAAUUCUCCUUGAGAGAAUUUUG
rnacentral:lncRNA from 1 species